GGUGAGGUGGCCGAGAGGCUGAAGGCGCUCCCCUGCUAAGGGAGUAUGUGGUUAAGAGCUGCAUCGAGGGUUCGAAUCCCUCCCUCACCG
rfam:Xenorhabdus nematophila ATCC 19061 chromosome, complete genome